rnacentral:sRNA from 1 species
CCCUAGCCCUGAUGGAAGCGGCAUCCUUUUGUGCCGGGGUUCGGCAUAAAAGAUACAGCGGACAGCAGGAAAUAGC